UACGUAGGGGGCUAGCGUUGUCCGGAAUCAUUGGGCGUAAAGAGCGCGUAGGCGGCCAGAUAAGUCCGGUGUGAAAGUCAAAGGCUCAACCUUUGAAUGCCGCUGGAAACUGUCUGGCUAGAGUCCGGAAGGGGCGAGUGGAAUUCCUGGUGUAGCGGUGAAAUGCGCAGAUAUCAGGAGGAACACCGAUGGCGAAGGCAGGUCUCUGGGCCGGUACUGACGCUGAGGAGCGAAAGCAUGGGGAGCGAACAGG
rnacentral:rRNA from 1 species